UACGUAGGGGGCUAGCGUUGUCCGGAAUCAUUGGGCGUAAAGCGCGUGUAGGCGGUUCGGUAAGUCCGCUGUGAAAGUCGGGGGCUCAACCCUCGAAAGCCGGUGGAUACUGUCGGACUAGAGUGCGGAAGAGGCGAGUGGAAUCCUGGUGUAGCGGUGAAAUGCGUAGAGAUCGGGAGGAACACCAGUGGCGAAGGCGGCUCGCUGGGCCGGACCUGACGCUGAGACGGCGAAGGCGUGGGGAGCGAACGGG
rnacentral:rRNA from 1 species